CGCGCCACUCCGGUUGUUCAUCUCUCUCGUUGGCCCCUCGGGGGCGGCAGACCUGGCUAAACUGGAGGGCUCUGGUCAUCAUUAGCCCAAAACCGGACCAGGACCCCUGGGUCAGGCACGGAGACAUGCUAACUGCAAAGUACAGGAAAGCACACUACGAAAGAUGCUGAGUGGAACUUCUGGUCAAGAUGGCGGCGCAGACAGACAUGGCUCACCUCUUCGCACAACCACAGCAAACUUACAACUAAAAUACAGAGCAACCAUCACUCAGAACCACCAGAAAUUGAGUUGAUGAAAGUCUGGCAACUACAGAAUUAAAGAAACCACAUCCAUCCAGACUGAUCCUGGCACAAGUGUCUUCUCUGAUCUUCCUAUUAUUUUAUAUCUCCAUUUUACAGAUGAAGAAGCCGAGGCCUAGAAAGGUUAAGCAAUUUGCUCAAGAGCACUCAGCCAGUAAGCAGGGAGCUGCAAUUUGAACUCAGGCAGACCAACUCCAGAGCCUGCUCUUAAAACAGCUACAUUGUGUUAUGCAAAGAUGAGUUCACCCAGGUUAAAAGGCCAGGGGCAGGGUAUAAAGGUGCCCUGCAAAUAAACAAGAAUGAAGCUUCAGCAAAUGUUGACCAGCCCGAAAACCUCUGGGAGUGGUGGGAGGUGCAGGUGGAAGGUCUCAGGACAAGGUUGGAUGCAGUGCAGCUUGGCCCCAGCUCCCGGAGCACAUCGGUACACAGAGCUC